rnacentral:rRNA from 1 species
UACGUAGGGUGCGAGCGUUGUCCGGAAUUAUUGGGCGUAAAGAGCUCGUAGGCGGCUUAGUAAGUCGGAUGUGAAAACUCGGGGCUCAACCCCGAGACGCCAUCCGAUACUGCUGUGGCUUGAGUCUGGUAGGGGAACACGGAAUUCCUGGUGUAGCGGUGAAAUGCGCAGAUAUCAGGAGGAACACCGAUGGCGAAGGCAGUGUUCUGGGCCAGUACUGACGCUGAGGAGCGAAAGCGUGGGGAGCAAACAGG